rnacentral:rRNA from 1 species
GAGUUUGAUCAUGGCUCAGGAUGGACGUUGGCGGCGUGCCUAACACAUGCAAGUCGAACGGCAAAUAGCAAUAUUGGAGUGGCGCACGGGUGAGUAACACGUAGCUUAUCUACCUCAAAGCGCGGGAUAACGUGUCGAAAGACAGGCUAAAUACCGCAUAAGCUCACGGUCUGUAGAGGGUUGUGAGAAAAGGCGCAAGUCACUUUGAGAUGAGGCUGCGGCCCAUCAGCUGGUUGGUGAGGUAAAAGCUUACCAAGGCGACGACGGGUAGGGGACCUGAGAGGGUCGACCCCCACACUGGGACUGAGACACGGCCCAGACUCCUACGGGAGGC